rnacentral:misc_RNA from 1 species
AACAAAACACAAUACAAUACAACAUAACAUUAUACAAUACGAUAGAUAUUUGUAUCGUGCCCUAGCUUAUACUAGUACUAGAGUUCACUUGUAUUUAAUCUUUUGAGUAAUGUAAUUAUUACAUUACUUGCGUGAGAGUCCCUUCCAAAGUUUAAAUCCACCAUAAGUGACAAGGCACAUUGCCUUAAUUGCAAGGCCCAAAUGACCAAAUGCACCUGCCGUAGAAGCCACUGAGCCCACUGCCGUGGAAAUGGGAACAUUGAAUUUAGCUGCUUUAUCUAUUAUAUCACCCACAUUACAUGUUACACCAACCACAUCACCAAACCUAUUCAUUUUUUCUAGCGCACCACGGAGACGAUGCUCCGACGAUGGGUCUGAAUCAACAAUACCGCGAGGAUCCUUGAGGUACCUGUACAAGACGUAGCAAACCUCAUCAAAAGUGGGGAGACGACGCUUUGAUGAUAUUGUUUGCUUGAUGAA